rnacentral:rRNA from 1 species
AGUACGGCCGCAAGGUUAAAACUCAAAUGAAUUGACGGGGGCCUGCACAAGCGGUGGAGCAUGUGGUUUAAUUCGAAUCAACGCGCAGAACCUUACCAGCGUUUGACAUGUCCGGACGAUUUCGGGAGACCGAUCUCUUCCCUUCGGGGACUGGAACACAUGUGCUGUAUGGCUGUCGUCUGCUCGUGUCGUGAGAUGUUGGGUUAAGUCCCGCAACGAGCGCAACCCUCGUCCUUAGUUGCCAUCAUUUAGUUGGGCACUCUAAAGAAACCGCCGGUGAUAAGCCGGAGGAAGGUGGGGAUGACGUCAAGUCCUCAUGGCCCUUACGCGCUGGGCUACACACGUGCUACAAUGACGGUGACAGGGGGCAGCAAUCUCGCAAGGGUGAGCUAAUCUCCAAAAGCCGUCUCAGUUCGGAUUGUUCUCUGCCACUCGAGAGCAUGAAGGCGGAAUCGCUAGUAAUCGCGGAUCAGCAUGCCGCGGUGAAUACGUUCCCAGGCCUUGCACACACCGCCC